rnacentral:lncRNA from 1 species
UUGUUCAAAACUAUUUUUCGAUGUCCCAUGCCAUAUCAGAAAAAUAGUGCAUGUUUUCUUGCCUGAAAUGGAGAAAACUCUCCAAAUUGCUUUUAAAUAAUGUCCAAUCUCAGGCCAAUAAGCACUGUAUUAAGUAGUAACAGACUGUGAGGAGACAGAGAGAGACAGAGACUCAGAGACAGAGACAGAGAUUCUAGAAUAUGCAAAGACAACAAAUUCCAGAAGGCUAUUACAAAAUGGAAGCAAGAACUAACGUCUGCCAAGUCCUGAUUGAGGAGCCUGAAGAUAUCCACACUGAGCAUUGAUCUGUGCAUCAGUAAGUCUGGAUCUAAAGAGGAAGAUCCACACUGGAGCACAGGUCUUCUACAAUGUAGUCAUCGUGCCCUGUGUGGGGGCCACCAUGGGAUGGGCCCCAAGAACAUGGUGUGAACAACAACAGCAAAAAUGGUCUUGACCUCAGAGAGUUCAGGUCUACUCUGAUGGGAAAGAAAAUAUUACACAGUGCCCACCUUUCCGAUGGAGCUGAAGGAGACGGAGUCAGAGGGACUUAAAACAGUAACAACAACAACAAAGUGACAUGGAAUCCAUGAAAGGGAGUGUGACAGAUAAGCAACUUUUCAACUGUAUUCGCAUUUAUAGAGUGUUUUAGGAAGGGAGGCCACUUAAGAGAAGUCAUAAUUAUCAGCCCAUUCUUGAUCCUAUCUCCAACACAAUUCCCAUCCCUCGAGUGAGG